rnacentral:lncRNA from 10 species
GCAGCGGCUGAGCGCGCGAGAGGAGCGGCGCGGGGGCGCCCCCCUCGGCCGGGCGCUCGGGUUUCAGCCGCCGCUCCUCCGCGCCCCGCCCGCGCCUGGCCCGCUCGCCGGCGCCGGGAGAGACCUCGUAACGGAACUGGGACGCCAGCGCUGCAUUGUGGGAGCUUUUAAAGCGGCGGGGAGCUCGGCGCGACCCUCGGGCCCACCGGGCCACGCUCGCCCGGCCCGCGACGCCCCCCCGCUGUCGCCUGGCCCGCGACGCACCGAGGCCUGAGGACCCGAAAGCCGGGCGCGGGGAGAUGACCGGUGGCUCGUGACGGUCCCACGGGCAAAAUCUUCCAUCGCCCGGGGCUGAGACUUGUCAAACUGCCCUCUACGGUCACCCGGAAAGUAGGAGGCUUUUUCUGCAGAGGGGAAAAAAAUCAAAAAGAGCCGUUCCAUCCCCCCUCCAAGGACUGGGUUUGAAUUGCUUUUCAUCUGCAGUGGCUGUGAUUCAGCGUCCCUCUUAGCAGCAGGCAAUGACAGAGGCAGGAGAGGGGAAAAAAAAAAAGAAAGAAAGAAAAAACACAGCAAAUGAAUCAAACGGACCAGGUAGCAGGCAAGAGUGUGGUUAUCGUUGGACCAGGAUUCAGGAUCUGACUGAGUAGCUGACUCUUAAUCCAGUUUGUGUUGAUCACCAGGAGGAUCUGGACCUCAGUAUUACCACAUCUAGAGCUAUAAUCACAUCCCUGUUAAGCCUUCCUGAGAUCACACCAAAUGUCCUUGAUGGGAAUUGUAAACAACCCUUACUUCUGGUUUCUAAUGAUAUUCCAGGAAAGGAGCCUAACUAGAGUCAGUGAUAUGCCAACUCCACCUUUGCCUUCCACCAUGUUUGGAAGCUCCCUGAGGCCUCACCAGGAGCAGAUGCUCGUCCCAUGCUUCCUAUAAGCCUGCAGAACUGUGAGCCAUAAUAAACUGUGAAUUAUAAAUUGCCUUUAUAGCAAUGCAAAUGGACCAGUACAGAUGGGAUGCUGGGAAGACAGUUGUUUCCACCUUCAGUAAAGUCCGUGGAACACAGUUGUGACUAUAUUCUAGGCCAGCCAAGAUGCUUGUACUCAGAAAGGAGUGGUCUCAGGACCAUAAGAAAGUGAAAAAAUAAAAAUAAGAAAAUAAAGAAGGGAUUGUCAAUGAAUCAGAAUUCAUCAAGGUCAAAGUCUUAGGAAAUUCCUUCAUGAGGAAGUCUAGGGGGGCUAUGGAAAUGAAAUUUUUAAACAAAUAGGUAUGUGGUGCUGGCAGGAAUAAAUUAUGGACUUAUGAAUAUAACAUAAGAUUCUUUAUUACCUGGUCUCACCCGUCUUUCCACCUCUGCCCCCCUUCUUGCCCGACUCUGUGUAUCACCCAUAAUAAACUACUUACAGCUUCCUAGUGUUAAAUUUACCCUAAAGCUGCCUCCUUCAAUAUUUUAAGUUUAACCUAAAGGUUCUUCAUACAUAGUGAACUAUAACCCAAUGAUUAAACAGAUUGUAACCUACUCUUGUACCAGUCACCAAGUUUCAGCCAAUCAGAGGUGGCCAACUGUUCAAACCAUGCUCAAAUAAGGGAAAUGUCAUGGUGUAACUAAUCCAGCUGUUUCUAUACCUUACUUCUGUUUUCUUAGGUCACUUUCCUUUUUUGUCCAUAAAUUCUCUCCAACCACUCAGCAGCACUGGAGUCACUCCAAAGCUAUCCUGGUUCAGGGGUCUGUCUGAUUCACAAGUCAUUCUUUGUUCAAUUGAGCUCUGCUAAAUUUAAUUUGUCUGAAGUUUUUCUUUUAACAGAUGGUGUCAGAAAUGGACCCCAAAGUAGAGCUCCCAGUGAUCCCCCAGGAGCACUGAGUGACCACAAGGGGUACCUGCUGGGCCCGUCCUCUCGCAGUGUCCACUGCUCUCUUACAGCAACUGGAGAUUGUGGCUGCAUUCUCUCUCAGAUUCUGAAGCUCCAUACAUUGCCGUUUUCAGCUGUUCAAGCUUGCUUGAGCAAAUUUUUGAUCUUAGCUGAGUUUGGAAGUCGAUAGACAUUGGACUGGGUCCAGGAUUUGAUUGGAUCUGAUAAUUAACUGGCUUGGAUCCAGUUAGAUGCCUCGGUUAUCUGACUGGGUCAGAUAGAAACCGCCAGUAAAUAUUUUAAUAACAAUACUGCAGGGGUAUGAACUCUGGCUUUAAGAAACUCACAAGGAAUUUUAUGUUCUAUACCCUUUGUUUCUUUUUCUUGUGUGCUUCGGUCAGGAAAAAUCAUUAGUCAAGUUAAUCAAGGGGAUCUGAGAGCCAAAUACAAGAUUCAACGUAAAAAUGGAAUCCUUGGGCUAGGCGUGGUGGCUCAGGCCUGUAAUCCCAGGACUUUGGGAGGCUGAGGCAGGCGGAUCACCUGACCUUAGGAGUUCGAGACCAGUCUGGCCAACAUGGUGAAACCCCGUCUCCACUAAAAAUACAAAAAUUAGCCAGGCGUGGUGGUGGGCACCUGUAAUCCCAGCUACUUUGGAGGCUGAGGCAGGAUAAUCACUUGAACCCAGGAGGCAGAGGUUGCAGUGAUCUGAGAUUGCACCACUGCACUCCAGCCUGGGCAAAAGAGCGAGACUCCAUCUCAUAAAUAAAUACAUAAAUAAAUAAAGAAAUCCUUAAUUUCUGCGGAACUGAGUGCUCUACCUUCUGGCUACACCUACGUAUACCUGUAUGAGGUAUAGGCCCUGGAAGCAGCAAACACUUACAGAAAUGGUGAAAUCUUACUAAAGGUAAUCUAAAGUUAUGGUGGAACAUCCCAAAUGAACAACACUGCACUUUAGGAAGUACAUAUAAAAAUGAAGUCUCCCAAUUUAGUAUUAUUCAGGGAUGGCUGUUGAAGUUCAGAAGCUUCUAAAAAGAUUCCAAUAAUUUUACAGAUUCUUUUAAAAGAUUCUUUGUAAAAGGCAAAUAAAAAGCUUAAGUGACUAAUCAGAAAAAUUAGGUCUUCUAACCUUUUGUCAUUGUUACUGUCUUGCCCUGAAAGGGAAAAGAAAGCUGGAUAAAGUAUUUAUAGAAGAUAGAGGACCUGUGGUGGCUCAUGCCUGUAAUCCAAGGUGGAAGGAUUGCUUGAGGCCAGAAGUUCAAGACCAGUCCAAGCAACAUAGCAAGGCCCCAUCUCUACAAAAAAUGAAAAUAAAAUUAGCCGAGCGUGAUGGCUCAUGCCUGUAGUUCUAGCUUCUAGAGAGGCUGAGGCAGGAGGAUUGCUUGAGUCCAGGAGUUCAAGAUUACAGUGAGCUAUGGUCACACCACUGCACUCCAGCCUGGGUGAUGGAGUGAGACUGUCUCAAUAAAAAGACAAAAAGGCUGGCCAGGGGCAGUGGUUCAUGCCUGUAAACCCAGCACUUUGGGAGGCAAAGGCAGGAGGAUUGCUUAAGCCCAGGAAUUUGAGAUCAGCCUGGACAACAUGGUGAGACCCCCAUCUCUACAAAAAUUUUUUUUAAAAGUUACCCAGGCAUGGUGUUGCACAUCUGUGUUCCCAGCUACUGGGGAGGCUGAGACGGGAGGAUCACUUGAGUCCAGGAAGUUGAGAGGUUGAGGCUGCUGUGAGCUGUGAUUGUGCCACUGCACUUUAGCCUGGACAACAGAGGGAGACCCUGUCAACAACAACAACAACAACAAAAAAGCAAAACAUCAUAGGCUGCAGAAAUAAACUUUCUUGUCAAUUGUGUCUUUAACCAUGACCAUUUUGAGUCAUUUCCACAAUAAGUUAUCACUGAAGAGAGAAAAUGAUCCAGAUUUAAAAUACACAUAUUGGUGUGGUGAAUGUUCUAAAUUGCGAAAAUGGUUUAUGACCAACAUUUGGUUUGUCAUGCUCACAAUCCUGGAAAUACAUUCAAAACUUCAGGUACAUUUCUGCUACCUGAUGGGCUAUUUGAAUAUAUAGAGAGGGAUUUCAUUCAAUUGCCAUUUUCAUUGCAUGUUUUUUGGUUGUAUAGAAGCUUUCCCAUGCAAGGAGGCUGAUGCUGUUAUUACAGUAGCUAAAAGGUUAGUAGGAAAUGUGUUUUCCCCCAUGGGGCAUUCCUGGAGAAAUCUCUAGCAAUAAAGGUACUUGUUUGACUGGACAAGUUGUAAAACAGUUUAAUAAGGUUUUUUUUAGGUGUCAUAGCAUUAGGCAAAGCUAACUGAAUUGACUGGAUUGUCAUAGUCAAACAUAUUGCAGAUCCGCUUCCAAUAGAAGACAAUGAAAUAGUCACUGGAAAGCCUGUGCUCCUAAUUUUAGAACCUCAUGUAUCUUCUGCUCCUAAACUCUGAUAGGACUAAAUGCUGUGAGGCCUCAAUGCAUUAUGUUAAUGUGUAUUUUCACCAGGUCAAGGAAGCUUUUCCUGAUCCACUAACUAAGGACAAUCAAACCCUUCAUGAUCUAGAAUCUGGAGACUGUGUCUUCUGGGAAUAGUAUCAGAGAAAGACUGCCCUUACUGCCCACAUGUAGCAAAACUUUGAGACGUUGAAUUAUGGGUCCAUAAUCUCACAACUCAGAGGGGCACCUCUAGACUCUUGGAACUGUAUAUCUAUUGGAGACUUUAAGGUAAAGCUGAACAGAGAGACGUUUUUCUCCAGAAGCAGACAGCACCAUAGUCAUGGACAGCUUUCCCAAGAUCACAGAUCAAGACUUCUCUGCCGUCAUGAGACUCAUAACCUCUUAAUUUUUUCUUGCUUAUGCUUCUGUGAACAAUAGAAUUGGAAAAGGGGUGGUCCCGCGUGCACCCAUAGGGUAUACUUUUAUUUGUGGAGGAUUUUGCUGCCAACCUUAUACAUGGGCAAACUUAUGCCUUCAUGGAUGGAAGAUAAAGGGCUAAUAUGGGUUAGAAAUUUUAAUGGUACCUUUGUUUCUCCAUAAUCAUUCAGAAACAGAACACUGGUCCACUCUUGUUAACCUACAUCAUAGGUUGAAGAGAACAUUGCCAGGAGGCCUUCAUCCUUCCAGAUGGGCACCAUUUGUUGGGUCUUUUUCCGUGGUAUGAAGAAAAUGAAGCAAUGAUUAGAAAUUGGUCCCUCGGCCGGGCACAAUGGCUCAUGCCUGUAAUCCCAUCACUUUGGCAGGCCGAGGCGGGUGGAUCACCUGAGGUCAGGAGUUUGAGACCAGCCUGACCAAUGUGGUGAAACGCCAUCUCUACUAAAAAUACAAAAAUUAGCUGGGUGUGAUGGUGCACACCUGUAAUCCAGCUACUCGGGAGGCUGAGACAGGAGAAUUGCUUGAACCUGGGAGGCAGAGGUUGCAGUGAGCCAAGAUCACCCCACUGCAUUCCAGGUUGGGCAACAGAGCAAGACUCUGUCUCAAAAAAAAAAGAAGAAAGAAAGAAAUUGAUCCCUCAUAAUAGGCUGUAUAGCAGAUUCUACUGCAAAGGCUAUGGUUGCACAACAGACUUCUUUGAAUUUGCUUGCUAAACUUUUACUGGAUAAUACUGGGAUUACAGGUGUGAGCCACUGUGCCCAGCCUCUCCUGUUUAACUGUAUUCAUUCUAAUGUUUACUUACUUCUUUAAUUUGUAAAAUUGGGUCACUUAGAGUUUUUUUAGCCUAUCUUGCCAUUUAGCCACUGUUACUGAUAAUUUGGAUGGAAAAGAAAAAUAAAUUAUAUCACCUCUCAUCUUCAGUGUAUAUAUGUGUUAACUUAGUAAAUAUAGUAUUCUUUCUCGUUCCUAAUGAAAAUUUAGUUUACGUACUGAAACACUGCAAACUUUUAUAAAUAUUGUGAUGUAUUUGACCAAUACAAAGGAUCUUUUUAGAAACAGCAAACAGUUCUCAGAUUAUAGGAAUUACUCAUUUAAUGAUAGUUUCUUCUU